rnacentral:tRNA from 1 species
AGUGUUGUAGCUCAGUGGCAGAGUGCUUGCCUAGCAUGUGGAGGCACUGGGUUCGAUCCUCAGCACCAUAA